UUCCAAACAUUUAAAUGAAAUUUACCAUUAUAUCUUCUUUGUUCCCCAUAUCAGUGAGUGAUAACACCAGGUUCCUAGCCAUAACCUGGGCCUUCUCUUUAACUCUAGUCUGUGCUUUACUCCCAACAUACACUCAGUCACAAAGUUAUAAAGAUUGUAUAAGGAUUGAGUCAAGCAUUAUCAAAUUCAUCUAUUCAUCUCAUCUUAUUUCUUGCCCACAUUCCUUCAAAAGUCUAUUAUCUGCUCUCCUAGUAUUCACCAUUGGCUCUGUCUGAACUGUUCUCCGUAUAGCAGCCCCAAAAUGUGUAUAAAACCUAAUCAGGACAGGGUUGGGACUGUAGCUCAGUGGCAAAGUGCUUGCCUAGCAUGUGUGAGGCGCUGGCUUCAAUCCUCAGCACCACAUAAAAAUUAACAAAUAAAAUAAAGGCAUUAUGUCCAUCUACAACCACAAAAAUUGUUUUAAAAAAACAUAACCAGGACAUAUUUAUGCUUGAAACUCUUCAAUGACUUUUGUUCUUAGGAUAAAGUUCUAACUAUCAGGCCCUACAUGAUCUAUUCCAUUCUUAGCUCUUGGGCUUCACCUCCUGUUAUUCUCACUUGUACAUUUUAUGCUUUAGUUAUAUCAAUGUUUAUUUAAUUUCUCUAAGCUUUAUCCAUGCUAAUUAACUUUUCCUAUUUAC
rnacentral:lncRNA from 1 species